UUUUUUUUUUUUUACAAUGACUAAGAGGCGAGAGGUAAACGUUAAUGACUCAUGUUUAUUGAUUGUACGGUAAAAAAAAUGUCUUAAAAGAUAAAAAUCACACACAGCAAAAUUAUCGCUACUACAGUAAAAGUAAUAUCUUUUUUUUUUCUUUUUGUGUUAAUUAAUUAACGGUCUAGAUUAAUUUGGCAAAAAUAGUUAUUUGUGAAAUAGGCAAAAAAAAAAGGUAAUUAGUCUUUUUUUUUUAUCCAGAGGUUAAAGAGCAAUAGACCAUACUCCUCGAUCUUAAAUCAUCGAGAUUAGGUUUUCACAAUCGGUGCCAAAAUCCUGAUACGUCGAUAUAUGUAGCAUGCACUCCAUUGCCCAUAAUAGCGCCUCAAGUUCCGAAUACCGUGAUUAAAUUCUUUUUCAUUGUUUCUUGCUCCCAAAAGUUGAAAUUCUCCUCUAGAAUUUUAUCAUGUCCAUCCACAACCAUUGAAGAGUGCGUCAUGUGUCCAUGAUCCAUCUAUCAUACAUCUCUCUGAGAUUGUUCAAAAGAUUGUUCAAAAGAUUGUCGCACCGAUGGUAUUUCUUCUUGUCUAUCGUUAGCAUUAAACCAAGCAAGACAUUCCAAUUCCGCGUGUCUUACAGUUUCCAAUGAGUCUCUCUGUCUAUCCAUCUGAGUAGUUUCAUCAUUUUUUGCUUUCUAUAUAUACCACAUAAUCCAAAGACGUGAUUGCUGCUAGAGAGCAUGUUUGUAAAGCCGGCGGGUAUUCAAAGAUGACAUUCAAAGAUGUUUAAUAGUUUCGGAUAAUGAUUAUCGCAUCAAAUAUGACGAUGAGUUAAGUUACUUGUCACAUCCAACUGUCCUGAUAUUGUUUGCCAUAUAAGAUGGUGUAUUUUCUGUGGAUCUUUUAUCUUCCAAGCAAAGGUUUGAAGUUUUGUAAUACGAGAUUCUGAAUAUUGCUGGUGUUUUGCAAUACCUUGUAACCCAAUUUUAUAGUAUGCAUACCACUCUUCGUAUAACUCCAACAAUAUUCAUCCAGCUGGUGGCCUUGACUUAUGACCAAGGACUGGAUCAGCGGAAUGUCCUCUCGACUGACAUAAUUGUCUAAUAGCUCUGUAUUCCAAAUUAUUUUCUCUCCAAUUAAGAGUUCACUUACUGACAUCAUUGGAUGAACUACUGGUACAAUAUAAGUAGAAGGACGUGCCAGCAUCGUUAGUAUCCAAAGAUCAUCCCAUACUUUGAUCUCAUUCCCUAAAUGUACCUUUUUGCAUAAUUCCUAAAGAAAUUAAUGGCUUCACAGCCAUUAUAGUUGUCCAUCCAUAAGAGGGAUUGUUUGUUCAGCCGCAAAGGCGAACUACAUCUGAAGUAUUUUCUGCUCAAAACUUUUGCUAAUAAGGAAUCUGAGAAUUGCACUAAUCUCCCCAAUUGUUUGCUAGCAGAACAAGAUUGAACUCAUGUAUCAGCCUAAACCCUAUCCCUCUUUUUUCUUUCGAUCUGCAGAGUUUUUCUCAUUUUUUCCAAUGUAUACUAUACCUCUCUUAGCUGGAUUUGAACUCUACCAAAACUGUAGAAUGUCAUUAGCUAAAUUCUCACAAGUCUCUAGAAGUAGUAGCAGAAUCGACAUGACAUACGUAGGUAGAACAAGAAAGAUAGACUUUAUCAUAACCUCCUUUCCACCCCUUGAUAACCAUUGCGAUGUCCAACCAUUAAUUUGGCUUUGUAGUUUUUGCUUAAGGAAAGCAAAUAAUUUUUCGUUUAGAGCCACUUAUGUCCUCUAGGAUCUCAAGAUAAGAUCUCAUUUUUCCUUUAUUUGCUAUUUUCGUUGAAGUUUUGAUUGCAUCCUUUCCAUGUCUGAAUAUCUUCUCACCAAAGAAUAAAGACAUUUCUUCGUAGUUAAUGCACUGUUCUGAGGCUUCUCCAGGAAUCUUAAUUGAUUUCAUGACUUCAUCGCAUUCAUGGAGUUGCGCUUUAAAAAAAAAAAUUAUCAGUAAAAAUAUAUUUGUAUAGUACUCUCAUCUUACAAAAAUAUAUUACGCUAUUUAUUAAAACAAAAUCAACAAAUUCCAAUUCAACGCAUGGUUCUUUGGCUUUUCUUUUCAGUUAUUUAAUUUCUUCAUAUUAUUCAUAUUCUUAUGUUUAUUAUAUUUGUCAUUUUCUUAUGUUUUUAUUCCCGUUAAUUUUUUAUUUAUAUUAUCUCAAACAUCUUUUGGUCUCUCUUACAUAAUUUAAUACUAUUAAACACAAAACUUACAAAUUGUGUAUUAGAAUUUAGGUUUCAGAUAUUUUUUACAUAUUUUUCUUUUAUUGCAAUAACUUGGUAAAGCAAUUUGUAUAUCUAAAUUUAUUGAUUAGAUGAUUGUAUUCUUCACCUCGUAAAAAAAAACUCCACGAUAAAAAUAUAUUUUUAUUUCAUAUGAUCCUUUAACUCUUCUCCUUUUUUUGUUAUUUUACCUUAUAUCUUUUCAUGUUUUUCAAUUUUUAUCCCACCUAUUUUCAUAUCAUAGGAUCAUUUUUUAUAUUUACCAAUUCACCUAAUAUUUCCCCUAAAUUUACUUUUUCCUUUUAAUUUUAUUGUGUUUUGAUUUACAGUUUAAUAUAUAUGUGUAUCCAUAAAUAUAAAUUUUAAGAAUAAAUACUAUUUAUAUUAAUAUUAAAGAAACUAUAAUAGUUUUGAUGUUGUAUUAGAUCAGCUAUUUAUAUUCUAUUAAUUUAGAGUCAUAUUUUUUAUUUACUGAUAAAAGUUGUCAUUUAUGGGCCAACAAUUCAUCUAUAUUAUUAAAAGAGAAGUACCCAUUAAAAAUACCCUUUAGUUUUUAAAUUUAAUUACACUUCCAUGCCACAGAGAAUUAAAUUGAAUUUCAUAUUUUAAUGUUUGUCCUUUUCAGUUAGAUUAAUGUGUUUUCCUUAAAUAAAUUUGAGUUAAAUGUAAUCUAUAUAUUAUUAAAAGAGAAGUACCCAUUAAAAAUACCCCUUGGUUUUUAAAUUUAAUUACACUUCCAUACCACUUAGAAUUAAAUUAAAUUUCCUAUUUUAAUGUUUGUCCUUUUCAGUUAGAUUACUGUGUUUUCCUUAAAUAAAUUUGAGUUAAAUGUAAUUAAAUCAACUUUAAAAUACACCUAUAUUAACAAACUAUCGAAACAAAUAUUAACAAACUAUUGAAACAACCUAAACUAUUAAAAACAAUUUAAAAUUUAGCUUACACGCUUUUGAUCUUAUAAUACGUAUAUAUUACCAUAUAUAAACAAAAUUAAUGCUUAUUACUUUAACUUACCAGUAAAAGUUUUUGCAUAUAUAUUAGAUGUGAUUCACUUAUGUUCAAUCAUUUUUAUUAUAAACUUUUUGGAAUAUUAUCAUCAAUUUUUUUGAUAAAAAAAAAGAAUAUUCCAGCAAUAUCAGCUUCAUAUUUUGAAUAUAAAAUUAACUUUAUUCCCAUGAUUUUAGUUAAAAGAGACGGGUCAAUUUAGAUCUCUUCCAAAUGGGUUAUUAGAAUAGUUGUAACUUUUGACCUAAACGCAUAAUAUACUAAUAAUACAUUUCAAUCAUACAAUUAAAUAUGAAAGAAAUGUCAAUAUAAAAUUUGAUCAAACAUAGUAUAUAUAUAUAUAUAUAUAUAUAUAUACAUACAUCCAAUCUUUUUGUAUAUUUACAUAACUGCUCCAACACACAUUUAAUAAAUAUAUAUAUAUAUAUAUAUAUAUAUAUA